rnacentral:rRNA from 1 species
AUAUUACUAAGCGGAGGAAAAGAAAUCAACGAAGAUUGCCUCAGUAGCGGCGAGUGAAGCGGCAAUAGCUCAAGUUUAGAAUCUGUGUCUUUUUAAGGCACCGAAUUGUAAUCUAAAGGGGCCAACCACAGGAGCGGCGGAGGCAUAAGUUCCUUGGAAUAGGACAUCACAGAGGGUGAAAAUCCCGUAUGUAGCCUCCUCCAAACCGAGCGUUGACCUUCUAUGAGUCGGGUUGUUUGGGAUUGCAGCCCUAAAUGGGAGAUAAACUUCUUCUAAGGCUAAAUAUCUAUGGGAGACCGAUAGCGCACAAGUA